GAUGAAGAACGUAGCGAAAUGCGAUAAGUAAUGUGAAUUGCAGAAUUCAGUGAAUCAUCGAAUCUUUGAACGCACAUUGCGCCCGCCAGUAUUCUGGCGGGCAUGCCUGUUCGAGCGUCAUUACAACCCUCAGGCCCCCGGGCCUGGCGUUGGGGAUCGGCGGAAGCCCCCUGCGGGCACAACGCCGUCCCCCAAAUACAGUGGCGGUCCCGCCGCAGCUUCCAUUGCGUAGUAGCUAACACCUCGCAACUGGAGAGCGGCGCGGCCACGCCGUAAAACACCCAACUUCUGAAUGUUGACCUCAAAUCAGGUAGGACUACCCGCUGAACUUAAGCAUAUCAAUAAGCGGAGGA
rnacentral:misc_RNA from 1 species